GACGAACGCUAGCGGCGUGCCUAAUACAUGCAAGUCAAACGGUUUAUUUCCUAGCGGCACGUCUCUUGGAACUAGGCAGUGUCGGUCAGGUGAGUAACACGUACGCUAUCUACCUGUCAAACCCGCAUAACCUCGGGUAACCGCACCUAAACCCUGAUAAGCUCCUUUUUCACGUGAUUAGGGAGGGAAAACGUUCUACCUUAUGACAGCUGGGCCUGCGGCGGAUUAGCUAGUAGGUAGGGUAACGGCCUACCUAGGCGAUGAUGCGUAGCCGACCUGAGAGGGCGUACGGCCACACGGGGACUGAGAUACGGCCCCGACUCCUACGGGAGGCAGCAGUAGGGAAUCUUCGGCAAUGGGCGAAAGCCUGACCGAGCCACGCCGCGUGAGUGAGGAAGGCCUUCGGGUUGGAAAACUCUGUUGGUGGGGAAGAAGGGAAAGGGUAGCAUCGUUAGGUGACGGUACCAAACGAGAAAGCCUCGGCUAACUACGUG
rnacentral:rRNA from 1 species